rnacentral:rRNA from 1 species
AUACCAGUUGGAAACGACUGUUAAUACCGCAUAAUGUCUACGGACCAAAGUGUGGGACCUUCGGGCCACAUGCUAUCGGAUGCGCCUACGUGGGAUUAGCUAGUUGGUGAGGUAAUGGCUCACCAAGGCGACAAUCCCUAGCUGGUUUGAGGGGAUGAUCAGCCACACUGGAACUGAGACACGGUCCAGACUCCUACGGGAGGCAGCAGUGGGGAAUAUUGGACAAUGGGCGCAAGCCUGAUCCAGCCAUGCCGCGUGUGUGAAGAAGGCCUUCGGGUUGUAAAGCACUUUCAGUUGGGAGGAAGGGUUGCGUGUUAAUAGUACACAGCCUUGACGUUACCAACAGAAGAAGCACCGGCUAACUCUGUGCCAGCAGCCGCGGUAAUACAGAGGGUGCAAGCGUUAAUCGGAAUUACUGGGCGUAAAGCGCACGUAGGCGGUUUUUUAAGUCAGAUGUGAAAGCCCCGGGCUCAACCUGGGAAUUGCAUUUGAAACUGGAAAACUAGAGUGUGUGAGAGGGGGGUAGAAUUCCAAGUGUAGCGGUGAAAUGCGUAGAGAUNUUGGAGGAAUACCAGNUGGCGAAGGCGGCCCCCUGGCACAACACUGACGCUCAGGUGCGAAAGCGUGGGGAGCAAACAGGAUUAGAUACCCUGGUAGUCCACGCCGUAAACGAUGUCUACUAGCUGUUCGUGACCUUGUGUCGUGAGUAGCGCAGCUAACGCACUAAGUAGACCGCCUGGGGAGUANCGNGUCGCAAGAUUAAAACUCAAAUGAAUUGACGGGGGCCCGCACAAGCGGUGGAGCAUGUGGUUUAAUUCGACGCAACGCGAAGAACCUUACCUACUCUUGACAUCCAGAGAAGACUGCAGAGAUGCGGUUGUGCCUUCGGGAACUCUGAGACAGGUGCUGCAUGGCUGUCGUCAGCUCGUGUUGUGAAAUGUUGGGUUAAGUCCCGCAACGAGCGCAACCCUUAUCCUUAGUUGCCAGCACGUAAUGGUGGGAACUCUAGGGAGACUGCCGGUGAUAAACCGGAGGAAGGUGGGGACGACGUCAAGUCAUCAUGGCCCUUACGAGUAGGGCUACACACGUGCUACAAUGGUAUGUACAGAGGGAGGCAAGCUGGCGACAGUGAGCGGAUCUCUUAAAGCAUAUCGUAGUCCGGAUCGCAGUCUGCAACUCGACUGCGUGAAGUCGGAAUCGCUAGUAAUCGCAAAUCAGAAUGUUGCGGUGAAU